rnacentral:rRNA from 1 species
AUUGAACGCUGGCGGCAGGCCUAACACAUGCAAGUCGAACGAGUGGCGGACGGGUGAGUAAUGUCUGGGAAACUGCCCGAUGGAGGGGGAUAACUACUGGAAACGGUAGCUAAUACCGCAUACUAUCAGAUGAGCCUAGGUCGGAUUAGCUAGUUGGUGGGGUAAAGGCUUACCAAGGCGACGAUCCGUAACUGGUCUGAGAGGAUGACCAGGCACACGGGAACUGAGACACGGUCCAGACUCCUACGGGAGGCAGCAGUGGGGAAUAGUGGACAAAGGGGGAAAGCCUGAUCCAGCCAUGCCGCGUGUAUGAAGAAGGUCUUCGGGGUGUAAAGGACUUUAGGUAGGGAGGCGUUACCAGCAGAAUAAGCACCGGCUAACUUCGUGCCAGCAGCCGCGGUAAUAC